rnacentral:lncRNA from 1 species
UUUUUUUUUUAUGGUUAAAUUCUAAGAUUUAUCUAGUAGUUACUAAUUUGGAACUGGUAUGUUUAGUUGUUGUUUUAAUUUCUUUAUAGUUGGACUAUAUUAAGUCCUUCUGAAUACAGGAUUUUGAAUACAGGAUUUUGAUUGAAGCCAUAUGAUAUUUUUGUCAAUAUACACCUUUAGUAGCUGAAUUUACCGAGCAUGCGUCUCUGAAAGCAGGGGCAUUGUGACAUUAUUGUACACAAGACUAGUCAUUAUUCC